rnacentral:tRNA from 1 species
AAUAAGAUGCCUGAUUAAAGGAUUAUUUUGAUAGAAUAAAUUAAGUAGAUUAUUUUACUCUUAUUA